CUGGCUGAUCAACUGGACCUGGAGCGGGUUGGACCGCAGCAUCAGGCAGGCAGUGACAGUCUGCUCACCGGCGCCGCCUUCUUCAAGAUGAGGGAGAUGUUCUUCGAGGACAACAUUGACGACGCCAAGUACGGCGGCCACCUGUACGGUCUGGGCACUCCGUACAUGGUUAACGGGGGCGGCGCGCAGGAGGCCAACGGAGACGCCUCGUCCUCUGCAUAGUACCCGACAGGACCGGACUCGAGAAAUUCUCUGUGAUACAAGGGUUCAAAUCCCAAUUUUACCCCAGUGUCCGGUGUCGGCGGUGCGGAGUGCCGUGCGCCGUGUCCGCGGACCUACCCCGCGGCCGGCCCCGCCGCAUGUGCAGGGGCCAGAGCGAGAGCGAUGAAUUGUGUCGGCCGGCCGGCCGUCUCACCUUCCCGGGCGGCCGGUGCGCGCCCACUGUACAGUGUACAGCCCGUGACUGAGAGCGGUCGCCGUCCGCUCCCUGUGUGUGAGGGGGCGCGCGCGUCUGUGUGUGAGUGUAUGUGUGUAUGUGUCAGCGGGGUGUGUGUACACGGAUCUCGUACGGAGGUGAAGGGUGCGACUGAUGGCCGCGGCGUCAUCAGGCGCGCGCGACAGACCCACCUCACACAAGAUUAAACUGGCACCGCCCGGUCGGUGUGCGUGCGGGCCUACGCUGCGGGUGCUCUGCGAACCUAGUCUUCUUUUUAAGAUUGCCUAGCGCGGCGCGUUCACGGCCGUCGAAUCGUGCUCUGGACUGGUCUCUUCAUUGGUGGCGCUGGUCUUACUUUUACUGAAUGGUUUUACUCGACAGGGGAGGGGAGCGUGGGUGAGGGACGCGGGCGCCGGUGGUUUUAUCUUGUGUGCGGGGCGGAGCGAUGGAGGCGGACGGGUCGCUCACUCGUGCCCCUCACCUCCGUCGGCGCGCCUGCCCGUCUCGGCGCCGACCAGCCGGCCGCCGAGACGCGCGGGCUUUCCUAAAUAUCUGCUCGGCCGCCGCCCAUUCCAGCCAGUCUGUCCGAAUCGUAUAUCUGUCUGGUCCGCGUGAGAGUCACCCUUUGCGCUCGUGGCCGCCGCUCGACGCUGUCAGACAGCAGUCCGACCGCUGGCUCGUGCUCUGGUAGUGCGCCCUGAGUCUUACUUCAUUCGCCGAGGACCGCCCGGUCUCCUCAGCUGGGACGCAGCCCGCCAGGGCUCAGGGUGAUGUCCAACCUCAAUGGUCUCACUGCCCUCUUCCUCUCUUCCCACAAGUGUCGACGCUCAAUCACAAAGGGGUGUGCCCGCCGUCAGGUAUUUAGGAAAUGUUUUUACUCUGUGUAUUCUAACGAUGUAAAAUACACCUUGCAAAGCCA